rnacentral:rRNA from 1 species
UACGUAGGGGGCCAGCGUUGUCCGGAUUCAUUGGGCGUAAAGCGCGCGUAGGCGGCGCGCCAGGUCGGUCGUGAAAUCCCCCGGCUCAACCGGGGGGGGUCGAUCGAAACCGGCGCGCUCGAGGCCGGUAGGGGAGAGCGGAAUUCCCGGUGUAGUGGUGGAAUGCGUAGAGAUCGGGAGGAACACCAGUGGCGAAGGCGGCUCUCUGGCCCGGUUCCUGACGCUGAGGCGCGAAAGCGUGGGGAGCGAUCCGG